CGGCGGCGACUACUACGGCGGAUACGGUGGGUACGGGGGCUACGGCGGGUACGACAGCGGCUACGGCAGCGGCUAUGGCGGCGGCUACGACGGCGGUCAGGGCUACAGCGGCGGCAAGCAGCGCGGCGGUGGCGGCGGCCGGGGCGGCAGCUCGCGCCACCAGCCGUAUUAGCGCGGCUGGCCCCCUUCCCCCGUAGCUGUGUCCUCAACCGCGACCACACAUCUCAUCAAGGUUCACUGCACCAUCCGCUGGCUCGCCUAUGGCAGGGCCGUCCAUUCCGCGCGCUGCGCGUGCUGGGCUCCGCGCUCGCCGGUCUCCGCGCUCACCGGUCUCCGCGCUCGCCGGUCUCCGCGUGUGAGAGUUGUCUGUGUCUUGAACUUGCGCCCGAAUACACGGGUCUUGUGUACC